rnacentral:rRNA from 1 species
ACUGGGUUUAAUACCGCAUACGCUCUUCGGAGUAAAGCCGGCUUUUAGCUGGUGCUUUGAGAUAGGCUCGCGUCCUAUCAGCUAGUUGGUUAGGUAAAGGCUCACCAAGGCGACGACAGGUAGUUGGUCUGAGAGGACGACCAGCAACACUGGAACUGAGACACGGUUCAGACAGCUACGGGUGGCAGCUGUCGAGAAUCAUUCACAAUGGGGGCAACCCUGAUGGUGCAACGCCGCGUGGAGGAUGAAGGCCCUAGGGUCGUAAACUCCUGUCAUAAUAGAGUAAGACAUAGUCGUUAAUAGCUUCUAUGUUUGAUAGU